UUUCUGUGAGGUGCAGGAUAGCUGCUUGUGAGAGGAAGGGAGGCUGGUUAGGGAGCGGUGACCGUGAGCAAUGUAAAUUGGGCUGCUAGGGAAAGAAUGGAAAGGAGAGACCGGGUUUGAACUGAGAGGCACGACUUGGCCAUUGACUACCUAUGCGGGCAAAAGAAAGAGGCUCAAAGUUGAUUUCAAACUCAGGUCUGGAAAACGGGAAGGGCAUCUACAGUGCAGAAAGCAGAGGAAUGUCAAGGAACCAAUGUGGGAAACAGCAGCAGCGCUGGUAGAAUUAUACCUAGAACCAGCAUAGGAAGAUAGAGGGAAAUGCGUGCUGUGGUUUCCAUGCUUCAGAACCCACCACCCAUUUGCUGAGGAAAGUGUGCUGGCUGACUUUCAGAGGCAAGUGGGGGCAGGAGCAGGCGAGAAGAAAGAAAUCCACUGUCGGUAUUUCAUCAUCAACUGGGCGGAACAGAGCCUCAACCUGGAUCUGCCUUUACCGCUUCAAGCGCUGUGAACUCUUGGCUUGUGUCACAUUUCCUCUCAAUGGGCCACACUUGCUUUCUUUACUGACAUUUACGCCUACUGCAGCGGAGGGACAAGAGGAUGGGCAGCAGGCCAAGUCGUUCUGGGCGGCCCUGUGGUGCUGGACUCACCGUAUUCCUGGGCUUGCCAUCUGGUCAUACGCAAGUCACUCCUCUUUCAAUUUCUGUGCCUAUAAAAUGCAUGACUCAUCUCACAGAUGCCAAGAAAUUCAAAGUGUUCCUGUCUUUAAAGGGAAAGAGUUAUUAAAAAAAAAAAAAAAGCUACUGUAGAUGUACUUAUCAGGCUAUUACUAGACCAAAGCUAAAGCCAAGACCAAAGCCAGCUUUGAUUUCAUUUUAAAGCCUGGAGCAAGGAAACUAGUGUCAGAACUUUAAAGCAGCAUGCUGUUUAAAGUGAGCCUUCCCAGCCUGCAAUUUAGAUUCAGAUUCACACAUAUGCCACAGCAGAGACUUUAAUUCCCCUACAGGUAUACACAGUAGGAUCUGAACCAGCAACUUCGCCUUUUUAGCUAAACAGUAGAGUAUCAAUUACACUUACAGCCAGAGCCUGAUUGGCACACCAGCCGUAUUUGCUGACAAAAUUAAGUCACAUGGUCUGCAAAAGAAUGUUUUAAUUAUUUGUGAAUUUAUUUCUAUGAAAGGUUUACAAAGGAACAGAUAUUAAACCAAAUGUAGUUAUGCACUUAACAAGCCACUCUAUUUAAGAACACAUUGUACAUUCAGGCCAUCAUGAGCUCUUUAAAGACCACUGUGUUUUAUUUGUUUUUAAAUUCCCAUCUUUAAAAUACUCUUAAAAUAGUCUGUGCUCAAUGAAGGCUGACUGACUAAUUAGUUAUUCCAUUGAACAUGAUUUCUGUAGUCUAUUGCAGGGAUAAAAGGGAAAUAGAAGAUGUAGUCUUUGCCACCAGUUGGAGACAAUAGGCAAACAGAUUAAAGAGACAAACAGCAAAAGGACAUUGCACAAGUGAAAACCAAUUUGCAUUUAUAUGGAACUUGCCUGGUUUGGCAAUAUUGAUCAUUCAUUCAUUUAAUCUUUCAUUUGUAUCAUUCAAUAAAUAUUUUGUAAGCAGGUUCUAUGAGAUAUCAAAGAAGAAAGCCAUGUUAGCUCUGAAUUAUGCUCAGUUCUUGAGUCUUCUUUGACUAAAUAGGCAAUAAAUGGGGAAUUCCAUGGACAGUGCCCAUAACUGCUACUUCAGAGAAGCAAAAAGAUGCUACAGGAGUUCAAAGGAGAACGUGGAUCCAGUCUAGGGGUGAUGGUGGGUCCAUCUCAACCACCAGAGAGCACCUGCUUUCAGCGACAUCAUUUCAAAUAUGAAGAGUAAAGAAGGAAGGGCAACAUGGAAUUUAGGAAAAAAGAACUCCUCCCAAACUCAGGAACCUUAACAGUCCAUAAGCAGGAAGUUCGAUGAAUGCUUUCGAUCCAGAGAUUUAGAAUUGUGAUUUUAAAAAACUAAUAAAAAUAACACAAAUGACCUUCUACUGUGGAUAAAGGCAACCCUACUGUCAUCCAUUUCACCACCAGCUCUGUCCAGAGGAAUAAAAUUCAUCUUCAGCUACCUCUUUACGUCUGCGGAUUCCUGAAACUGCCUGUGGCCCAACUUCCAAAGGCCCAAUUUCUCCUGUGUCUCAGGUGGGGUUCUCAAGAAGCAGGAGA
ensembl:lincRNA